UUCUGGCCAGCGCCCUGGGAGAGAUUCCAAAAGAAGAAAUGAUAAGAUCAAUCGAGAGAACUGUAGAAUUUUUCAAAGCACACACAAGACCAAGGUGGCAAAGUGCUGGAGAUGGAAAACAUGGAUCAAACAGGAGUAGAGUAGAACCGAAAGAAAGAAGUAAAAACGAAAUCCCAAGAAAGAUCAGGGACGGACAAGAAACAUCGCGAAGAACAUGAUCUACAAGCUAGAGAUCUUGCAAAGAUGGCAGAUUUCUGGGAUCCAGGAAAGAAAUCCACACAAACCUUGGUGUGCUGAGCGGCCUUAUCGGCGCUCUCGUGGCCGGCCUCCUUCACCUUGUUUGCCUGAUCCGCCAUAGCUAUAGCUUUGCUUGCGUGAGCGAGGGCGAAGAUUAAACUCCUUUUUCCUUUCCUAGAGAGAGAACGAUAGAACUUUUGGGCAAACGAUGUGCUUGCGAAACGUUCGUCGGCCUCUUUUCAAGAACUGCCGCGAGGUGUCACGUGUUGGCAAGGCAGCGACUAGCGCCAUGCACGGCUACACGUGUCCACGUAGCCGGACGCGUGGAGGCUUGUGGCAGCUGCUACGUGUCGGGAUUGCGAGGUUGACACGUGGAUUGAACUGUUGGCGCUUUGAUUGAAAUUGACUUUUGCUGACCAAUGGAAAGCAAGAGGAAAUUUCUUUUUAUAUUAUUGCUCUUGUUUUAUACAGUGGAAAUGUUUUCAUCAUCGAAAGGAAGCUUACAAAGAAAUUUUUCUAGCGAAAGAAGUUCGAUAGAAGGAAAGAAUUUAGAAUGCGAUGAUGAGAAGAAACGACCAAGUAAAAGAAGUACUGUAGAUCGAUCCAGGCUUGACAAAGAAAGAACGAAGAAGAUCAUCUCGAACUUUGUAUAGCGAUCGAUCAGCGAUAAGGAAAUUCGCGGAGCAAAAGGAUUGCUAGCAAAAACCAAAGAAACGAAGAACAGGGAAGAGAAGCAAAAGAAUGCGAUGAUCGAUAAACAACGAAGAACAGUAGGACAAAGAGAAGAAUGCGAUGAUCGAUAGGCAACGAAGAACAGUAGGACAAAGAAAAGAAUACAAUGAUCGAUAGGAAGGAAGAAGAAUGAAGAGAUUUUAGUGAGUGGAGCGAUCUAGAGUCGUGGAGGAGGAGGAUGCUUUACUGCCACAGUCGGGGCUCUCAUCAAAAUUGGAAGCCGGGUAAGAGGCCGAGAGAAUUCCCACCUGGAACACAACCUUCUCGUUCUCCAUGUAGAUCCCAGUCAGCUCCCACCACACCAAUAACACCUUGACAUAAACUCCCGAGAGAUCUUUAAUCGAUCCAUAGGACAGCAAUCCCUCGAUCUUGGCCCUGUACUCCACCGGAUACGCGCCCGGGAUGGUCACGUCGCAUUUGGCGUCGAGCUUGAGCACGAAUCGGCCGCUGUUGUCGAGCGUGUAGCCCUCGACGUUGCUGGGCAGCAAGCCCCCUGGAAAUCCAUUGCGCUCCAGCAGAUCCUGCGCAGUCAUCGUGUCAUUGCCGCCAGUGCCGAUCGAGAGAUCCAUGGCUUGGCCGUGGAUUAGGGCGAGCAGCACCAGCGCCAGCGAGAAGAAAUCGAUCGCCAUCGUCGUCUUCUUCCUCUUUAACGAAGAACCCUAAAAUUACUUUUACCCCUAAGCUGGAAUUCGAACCUGUGACCUGUCCUCGUUGGGAUGAAUGGAUAAAUGGCGGGCAUUCUCUUGCCUCACUGUGGAGCGCUUCUAGGGCGAAAUAUUUCGUGGCGAUUGGAGGAAGCGCGACGGCGCCAGAGAGGAGAUGGAAGCCGCUGUUGGCGCCGUCGGCGAUUUGGAUGCUGUUGCGUGUUCCAUGUGAGUUUGCUUUGAUGGAUUGCUGGAUCCAAUGCGCUCUCCUUUCGUGUCUGAUUCCUCUUUCGUUGCUACCGUGUGUCGAUUCCUGUCUUGAAUGCCAGAUCNNNNNNNNNNNNNNNNNNNNNNNNNNNNNNNNNNNNNNNNNNNNNNNNNNNNNNNNNNNNNNNNNNNNNNNNNNNNNNNNNNNNNNNNNNNNNNNNNNNNUGGCUGUUGAGCACAGCCAAAACAAUUGCCUGCUCUCGUCCAACAUUCACCACGUAGUGAAGCACGCCUCGCGGGAUCACGAACAGAUCACUGGCACGCAUCUUGUGGGCAAAAAGCUUGUUGUUCGUGUCCACGAAGCCAGCCUCCACAACACCCUUCUCGACGUAAACAAGCUCGCUCGCCCGGGGAUGAGUAUGAGUCCUGGCAACACCCUUGGGCCCGAGAUAGAUCCGCGCCAUGGACAGUCCCAUGGUGUUGAGAGCCGGGAAAGUGGUGACGAUGGCUUGCGAGAAGUUGAAGAGAGGGUUGAGGGUGUUUGUAGUAUCGGUGUUGGUGCGGAGGAGGCUCGAGUAGAAGUCUUUGGAGGUGACUUGGGAGUAUGGCUUGCAGGGAGAGCCUUCGAUCAAGGUGUUGCUGGGGAUGCAAAAGUCCUGGAGUGGAUCGGGGUCGGCAGCUUCCACAAGAGAGAAGAUGCGAGCUGAGGAGAGAAAUGUGAGAGCUACAAGGAAUGUAUUCAAAGCCAUUGGAGAUCUGAAACUCUCGAUCACUCUCUUGUGUUAUAAGUUAUCUGAAAGGUUUGGGUUUUUAUGCUUUGCCGUGAGGAGAAAUUUCUUCAGUCUCCUGGUUUCUGAAAAAGCGGGACACGUUCUCAGGUGCACAUGGAUGACUUUGAAUGUUUGCUCUAGGGAAUUAAAAUUAUUUAUAUCACGAUGAAUGCGUAUAAUGCAUAGAUAACCAUUGGAAAUAACCGCAAGGCGAGCAUCCGGCAAUCUUUCCAAACCUAAAAACUGGAAGAUUCAUGGCACGUUCGAUAAUGGUUAAACAACCCUAAACGCAGCUGGAAUAAACCUCAUGCCGGAAUCUUUUCGAAUCUGUUGAUUCCAGAGAGGCGAUCUUUUUUUUCGCCAAGAAUCUCUUCAAUCGCGGACUUACUGUGAGGUCUUCGAUCGAAUGCCGCAGCGCGACGCCUCUCUUCUCUAACUGAGAAUCUAAGAACUUCUGUAGCAGUAUUUUUCGAAAAUCGAAAAUUCGACCUGUUUGGACUGUAGAUCAUUCUAUCGCGUCAAUGGCGAAGACCGAUGUGGCAAUCUCGUUCCAAAGAAACUCGCCACGAACAAUGAAUGAAACGACAAGAUUCCUUGGAUUCCAAUUUUUUCAAAACAGUGACUGGAAGAUCCCCAGCUCACUGGCACUAAAAAGGGAACAAAAAAAUAAAAAUAAAAAAACGCGACGACGACGAUUGUCCAAAUAUCCCGUUUUUCCUUCUCUUUUUUCUUUUUUUCCCGUGUGCUGCUGCUGAAUGAGAGACUACUGAGUGGUGUUGUUACCGCUACCGCUCAGAGGAGCGUUGGUGUUGUUCCCGGGACCGCCCAGACCGAUAGUCUCCUUGGUCUUCUCGUAAGCUUGCUUCGCAGUAUCGGUAGCCUGCCAAACAAUCCACCAACUUUAGAGAUCGAAAAUGAAAGACUAGAGCGAGAAUUGAGAAACCAAACGAGCGAACCUAACAACUCUAGCAAAUAUCUAUUCAAACCAAGCGAACACGACCAAAGAAACGCAACAUCUUGGAAGAGAAUCUUUUUGCUUACCUUCUGGACGAGUCCGGCAGCUUGAUCCUUGGCAGCGUAUGCCGCAUCCGUAGCCGACUGCAUGUAUCCCGACGCCGUAUCCUGCGUCGUAUCCUUGGCCGCGUACGCCUUCUCCGUCACCACGUCCGCGGCCGACUUGGUCUUGUCACCCGCCUGGUUCGCGGUGGCCGCGGUCUGGUCCUUGGCGGCAUAGGCCUUGUCCGCCACCGUGUCCUUGGCGGCAUAUGCCUUGUCCGCCACCGUGUCCUUGGUGGCAUAUGCCUUGUCCGCGGCGGUAUCCUUGGUGGCACGAGCCUUGUCCGCUGCCGUCUGGCCGGUUCCCUUGGAUUGAUCCAUGGCGGCGUGAGUUUUCUCGCUGGCGGCCUGCCCCAAGCCGUGAGUGGUAUCGCUUGCCUUCUGGCCAGCGCCCUGGGAGAGAUUCCAAAAGAAGAAAUGAUAAGAUCAAUCGAGAGAACUGUAGAAUUUUUCAAAGCACACACAAGACCAAGGUGGCAAAGUGCUGGAGAUGGAAAACAUGGAUCAAACAGGAGUAGAGUAGAACCGAAAGAAAGAAGUAAAAACGAAAUCCCAAGAAAGAUCAGGGACGGACAAGAAACAUCGCGAAGAACAUGAUCUACAAGCUAGAGAUCUUGCAAAGAUGGCAGAUUUCUGGGAUCCAGGAAAGAAAUCCACACAAACCUUG
rnacentral:lncRNA from 1 species